CUUUUAGUUACAAUUGUUUUUUUUUUUUUUUUUAAUUAAACAUUUGAUUGUUCUUCUGUGUUGUUUUUUUAUGUGCCUAGAUUGCUAGUGAAACUUAUACACAUUGAUGUACUUGUUUCCAGGGCUUAGAAGUGAACACCCGAAUCAAAUGUUGGGAAAUCUUAACUUACAGAUCAUAACAUCUCCCAUGUUUAUUCAAGUUCAAUAGAGAUUUAAACUCUACUUAUUUUCCUUGCUGAUUCUGGCAACAUGUUCCUUGCUUUAAUGACUCUUGGUAAGAAAGAAUCCUUAUCUAAAUAAGUUCUAAACUAUGGAAUAAAAAAUGUGUUUUUAUUGGUGGUAGGUUAAAUAUCAGCAUUGAUAGAUGGAGCAAAGUAAUGCUUUUGUUCAAGGAGCUAGAAUUAGCAAUCAAGUUCUCCUACUCUUAGUCUUUGGUCAGACAGAAUGGUUUUGAAGCUGUUUCAACAACAUAUUCAUAGAUUUAUGCCGUUCUUGGCUUUUCCUACAGGUGAACACGGACAUUCAGAUCUUAUAUAUUAAAGAAGUUACUUCAAAAGAGAAGAAAAUUACGUUCUACAUGUAUCUAUGUGUUAAUUCAGAGACUUGUAAUCUGGUUUACCUGGCUGAUUCAGGCAACCCAUUACAUGCUCUAAUAGCAUUAGGAAUGAAGGAGCACUUGUACAAGUUUGUCCUAGCAAUUGUGCCUUUUUUGUGUGUCUGAGUUUUUUUUUCUUUUUAAAUUAGGUUUUGUAUUUGUAAAAUAUUGCUCAGUGUUUUAUUUAUGUAUUAUUGCUACUUUACUUUUUAAUCUUCUGUCCUGAAGACUCUCUAGUGAUUUUACUUAUAGCUCUAUGCUCUGACCAAAUGUGAAUAUUCGUUUGUUUCACCUUUUAUUUAGGAUGCUUAGCAGAAGAAAUCUGCAAAUACUCUUAGCUACUACAGAAUUUAAUUGAAACCCUUGUAGUCUGACUUUUAGUUUUUUAACAUCUAACUUUGGAAACAAAAUUAAACUCAAAGGCGGAACAAUUUUUAUCUAAAUUAAAACCAAAGUUGUUGUUUUUUUGGUGAAAAUUUAUUUUAGCUUAGUUUUGCUAUUGCUUAUAGAUACAGUUAUUUAGUAGGCAAAAGUGAAGGCCAGUUUUGCUGAAAGUGUUUUUGAAGUAUGACAAUGUGAUUGUAAUGAUAAUUAUAUAGCACUUGUUGUUGGAUGUCAUUACAGUGUUGAAUGCAUUCAUUGAAAAGCAAUACAAAAUGUUGGUUGUUAUGAACUCCGUGUUGUAUCAUUUCAUUUUCUAUUUCUUACAAACAUUUGACGAUG